rnacentral:tRNA from 1 species
GACCCAUUAGCUCAGUCGGUAGAGCACCUGGCUUUUAAUCAGGGUGUCUGGAGUUCGAGUCUCCAAUGGGUCA